rnacentral:lncRNA from 7 species
AAGCUCACUAGUGCUGUCAGCUGUGACAAACCAUUGCUCUCGCAUGCGCAAAUUGUAGUUCACGUUUACUAGUUUAAUUCAGUUCCUCUGUCCCAGACGGGAGUGAGCGUAGCAGCAGCAACCGCUGAUAGCAACGCCGUACGCUAUUGCGACAAGAAUCAUUUGCAAUCGCAAAAUUCUUGUGCAACACUAGGAUAACAAACCUCUGAAAAGUCUCAAAGCACAAAAAGGCGAACGGAGACAUCGCCUGAAACGAGUAGAAAGAUGAGCCAGCGCAAUAACCGUCUACGUGUGCGGCCCGGAUCGCUUCACGUUUCGGCUGCCCCGCGCGUUGAGCCCCACAAAAUCCCUGCUACCUCAGGGCUGCGCGACACGUACCCUCGGCCAAUGGUGGCGCGACACGUACCCCAAGAUAUUAUCGAUCUCCGCGCCCGUGGCGCCCAUCCGGCGCCACACGUGUCGACCCGCCGGCGCGCCCUGACGCAGCGCGGCGUCCCGGUCCCCGUCAGCGAUCACGCGGCCAACCUGCGGGAAGCACCGAAUUACCGAAACAAGCCGAACAAAGAUGAUGAUGACAUUG